GUACAUGAGGCAUUUCGUCCACACAUGCGAGCUGAGUGGGUACGACGACGAACAAAAGCUACGGCUACUACCUGCUCGCCUUGUUGGUACAGCUCAUGAGAUGUUCACCGAAAUUCUAACUCACACGCCUGACAUGAACUUUUCUGACACAGUCGAGGCUCUGCAUGUCCGUCUUGAGCCGCCCCAGCAAGCAUUGAUGCACGAGGCCAGUCUUCGCCAGCGAGUGAAGCUGGCGAGUGAAACUCAGCACGGGUAUGCCACGGAACUUCGUCGGCUCGCUCGUCGAGCCUACCCAGGACAACAAGGUGCACUGCUUGAUUCAAUGCUUUUGCAACUUUUUAUUGAUGGCCAGGCAUCGAAGGAUUUGCGCUUGGCGUUGGCGUCACCUCGGCCCACUGAUUUGGACACGGCGGUCCAAAAGGCCAUCGAGGUAGGUGCUAUUUAUGCUCGCGAGCAGGCCCGCACCGUACCUCACCAGUACGCACAGCCCGUAUUUGCUGCUGCUCCGGAAGUGAAGCCCCGUCGCACUGCUCAUGGUCUGGAGCCCCUCGAGGAGGUAUGUGGUGCGAUCUCACCCAUUAUUGUGCACGUUGAUGUUUGUCUUUCGUCUUCGUCUUCGUCUCCUGUUGUUGCUCUUGUUGAUUCUGGUUCAAGUGUGUCGUUAGUACAUUCUAAAUUGUUGCCUAAUUUGACAGAGCGACCUCCUCUAGAGUCUGCUCCGCGGUUGUGUGCAGUCAAUGGCGCACAACUUCCUGUCGUUGGAUCCAUGGAUCUGUGUAUGUCGCUAGGAAAUCUGU